rnacentral:tRNA from 1 species
GCCGUGGUGGUGUAGUGGUAGCACACCUGAUCUGGUAACCUAGUCCCUACUCGCUUACCUAAGCCCUUAUACUCGCUUACCUAAAUACCUAAUACUCUCUUCUCGACGAUCAGGAGGUCGCGGGUUCGAUUCCUGCCUACGGCA